rnacentral:rRNA from 1 species
AUUCCCCUAGUAACUGCGAGUGAAGCGGGAAAAGCUCAAAUUUAAAAUCUGGCGGUCUUUGGCCGUCCGAGUUGUAGUCUGGAGAAGCGUUUUCCGCGCUGGACCGUGUACAAGUCUCCUGGAACGGAGCGUCGUAGAGGGUGAGAAUCCCGUCUUUGACACGGACUGCCAGUGCUUUGUGAUGCGCUCUCGAAGAGUCGAGUUGUUUGGGAAUGCAGCUCAAAAUGGGUGGUGAAUUCCAUCUAAAGCUAAAUAUUGGCGAGAGACCGAUAGCGAACAAGUACCGUGAGGGAAAGAUGAAAAGCACUUUGGAAAGAGAGUGAAACAGUACGUGAAAUUGUUGAAAGGGAAACGCUUGAAGUCAGUCGCGUCGACCGAGACUCAGCCUCGCCUUGGCGUGGUGUACUUCUCGGCCGACGGGCCAGCAUCAAUUUUGGUCCCCGGAAAAAGGCUUGGGAAAGGUGGCACCUUCGGGUGUGUUAUAGUCCCUCGUCGCAUACGGGGGUCGGGAUUGAGGUACUCAGCGCGCAAGCGCUCGGGAUGCUGGCGUAAUGGCUUUAAACGACCCGUCUUGAAACACGGACCAAGGAGUCUAACAUGCCCGCGAGUGUUCGGGUGGAAAACCCGUGCGCGUAAUGAAAGUGAAAGUUGGGAUCCCUGUCGUGGGGAGCACCGACGCCCGGACCAGACCUUCUGUGACGGAUCUGCGGUAGAGCGUGUAUGUUGGGACCCGAAAGAUGGUGAACUAUGCCUGAAUAGGGUGAAGCCAGAGGAAACUCUGGUGGAGGCUCGUAGCGAUUCUGACGUGCAAAUCGAUCGUCAAAUUUGGGUAUAGGGGCGAAAGACUAAUCGAACCAUCUAGUAGCUGGU